GGGAUUGGAAGCUGAUGUUGGCUCGGCGUUAGCUGUAGAGCUAUCUGAAAUCCCACAGCUUUGGAAAGGGAAUGCAUCAUCUAGGACGGAUGGCUAUGACUAAAUCAAAACUGACUAAUGAAAUGAAGGAGAAAUCUGCCAGGUCACGAUCCUGCACUUGUGAAGUUGAACACUGAUUUUAGCUGGCCAUGGGUCUGGCCUCCAGGAAAGAAGCUCAUUGUGAAGACUUCAUCUCCUUAUCCAUCUCCAUGGUGUCCAAAGAAUGGAUCUAUGGGAAGAACCAUGUGCUCUUUGCCACCAGUGAAAAG